rnacentral:rRNA from 1 species
AUGCACGCUGGCGGCGUGCCUAAUACCUGCAAGUCGAGCGCACAGACGAGGAGCUUGCUCCUCUGACGUUAGCGGCGGACGGGUGAGUAACACGUGGAUAACCUACCUAUAAGACUGGGAUAACUUCGGGAAACCGGAGCUAAUACCGGAUAAUAUAUUGAACCGCAUGGUUCAAUAGUGAAAGACGGUUUUGCUGUCACUUAUAGAUGGAUCCGCGCCGCAUUAGCUAGUUGGUAAGGUAACGGCUUACCAAGGCAACGAUGCGUAGCCGACCUGAGAGGGUGAUCGGCCACACUGGAACUGAGACACGGUCCAGACUCCUACGGGAGGCAGCAGUAGGGAAUUUUCCGCAAUGGGCGAAAGCUUGACGGAGCAACGCCGCGUGAGUGAUGAAGGUCUUCGGAUCGUAAAACUCUGUUAUUAGGGAAGAACAAAUGUGUAAGUAACUAUGCACGUCUUGACGGUACCUAAUCAGAAAGCCACGGCUAACUACGUG